rnacentral:rRNA from 1 species
UAUCUGCAGUCGAGCGGACGAAGGGAGCUUGCUCCCGGAUGUUAGCGGCGGACGGGUGAGUAACACGUGGGUAACCUGCCUGUAAGACUGGGAUAACUCCGGGAAACCGGAGCUAAUACCGGAUAGUUCCUUGAACCGCAUGGUUCAAGGAUGAAAGACGGUUUCGGCUGUCACUUACAGAUGGACCCGCGGCGCAUUAGCUAGUUGGUGAGGUAACGGCUCACCAAGGCGACGAUGCGUAGCCGACCUGAGAGGGUGAUCGGCCACACUGGGACUGAGACACGGCCCAGACUCCUACGGGAGGCAGCAGUAGGGAAUCUUCCGCAAUGGACGAAAGUCUGACGGAGCAACGCCGCGUGAGUGAUGAAGGUUUUCGGAUCGUAAAGCUCUGUUGUUAGGGAAGAACAAGUGCAAGAGUAACUGCUUGCACCUUGACGGUACCUAACCAGAAAGCCACGGCUAACUACGUGCCAGCAGCCGCGGUAAUACGUAGGUGGCAAGCGUUGUCCGGAAUUAUUGGGCGUAAAGGGCUCGCAGGCGGUUUCUUAAGUCUGAUGUGAAAGCCCCCGGCUCAACCGGGGAGGGUCAUUGGAAACUGGGAAACUUGAGUGCAGAAGAGGAGAGUGGAAUUCCACGUGUAGCGGUGAAAUGCGUAGAGAUGUGGAGGAACACCAGUGGCGAAGGCGACUCUCUGGUCUGUAACUGACGCUG